rnacentral:rRNA from 1 species
UACUAGCACCCCGAGUGGUCGGGACGAUUAUUGGGCCUAAAGCAUCCGUAGCCGGUUCUUUAAGUCCUCCGUUAAAUCCAUCUGCUUAACAGAUGGGCUGCGGAGGAUACUAUAGAGCUAGGAGGCGGGAGAGGCAAGCGGUACUCAGUGGGUAGGGGUAAAAUCCGUUGAUCCAUUGAAGACCACCAGUGGCGAAGGCGGCUUGCCAGAACGCGCUCGACGGUGAGGGAUGAAAGCUGGGGGAGCAAACCGGAUUAGAUACCCGGGUAGUCCCAGCUGUAAACGAUGCAGACUCGGUGAUGAAUAGGCUUAGUGCCUAUUCAGUGCCGCAGGGAAGCCGUUAAGUCUGCCGCCUGGGGAGUACGGUCGCAAGACUGAAAACUUAAAGGAAUUGGCGGGGAGCACCACAAGAGGUGAAGCCUGCGGUUC